rnacentral:tRNA from 10 species
CUGGGCUUUAGUCCCAGCUCCUCGAAAGCAGGUUGGUUCUUGCCUGGGAGGCAAGUGACUUCCUCCUGGGGCCCCUGGGGAAGACCAGGGGGUGGGGGCCAAGGGAAUAGACCACUUUUGAUGGCUCAGAGGCAGCGUGAACAGGGAAGUGUCAGGGCUGGCCUAAGGCUGUGUGGGAAGAAGGAAAAACAGCUGACCUGUUUCCGCCCGGGAUCGAACCGGGGACCUUUCGCGUGUGAGGCGAAUGUGAUAACCGCUACACUACGGAAACCGAGAGAGUCUCGUUCUGUCGCCUAGGCUCGAGUGCAGUGGUACGAUCAUCCCUCCCUGCAGCCUCCACCUCCUGGGCUCAAGCGAUCCUCCCACCUCAGCCUCCUGGGUAGCUUGGACCACAGAGACUAGAGGGCCUGCACUAUGUUGCCCAGGCUGCUUUCCAGCUCCUGACCUCAACGUGAUUCGCCCGCCUGCAGCCUCCCAAAGUACUGGGAUUACAGGCAUGAGCCACCGCGCCCGACCCCAACUACACUGUAAAAGAGCUUUCUGAAAAGAAAAACUGUGUGUGUAUGUGUUUACCUUCCGAUGGAGUUUUGCUCCUGUUGCCCAGGCUAGAAUGUAGUAGCGCAAUCUCAGCUCACUACAACCUCCGCCUCCCGGAUUCAAGCGAUUCUCCUGCCUCAGCCUCCCAAGUAGCGGGGAUUACAGGCACCCGCCACCACGCCUGACUAUAUUUUGUAUUUUUACUAAAGAUGGAGUUUCGCCAUAUUGGUCAUGGCUGGUCUCGAACUCCUGACCUCAAGAGAUCCGCCCGCCUGAGUCUCCCAGAGUGCUGGGAUUACAGGCAUGUGCCACCACGCCAGGCCUCUUUAUUUUCUUAAAGAGACAGUAGAAGAGGUGGGAAGAUGAUGGCAAGAAUUUAGAAUCAGACUGCUGUAAAAUUCUGCACACCCUCACUCCUGCGGGGCUGGGAUUAGGGUGAGGAGACUAAAGCAUUGUAAGGCACUGGCACCAGGUGCAAAAAUUAAGGUGGUGCCAAAAAACUCAAUAAUCAAGAUAAAUAAUAUUUCAAUACAUCUUUUUUUCUCUCUCUGUUGUCGCUGGAGUACAGUGGCACAAUCUUGACUUACUGCAACCUCCACCUCCCAGGUUCAAGCUAUUCUCGUGCCUCAGCCUCCCUAGUAGCUGGGAUUACAAACAUGAGCCACUAUGCCAGGCUAAUUUUUGUAUUUUUCGUAGAGAUGGGAUUCCACCAUGUUGGCCAGGCUGGUCUUGAACUUCCGAGCUCAAGUGAUACGCCCGCCUCCGCCUCCCAAAGUGCUGGGAUUACAGGCGUGAGCCACUGCACCCCACCAUAAUAUUCUUUUAAAAAUUAGCCGGGCGCAGUGGCUCACGCCUGUAAUCCCAGCACUUUGGGAGGCUGAGGAGGGCGGAUCACGAGGUCAGGAGAUCGAGACCAUCCUGGCUAACAUGGUGAAACCCCGUCUGUACUAAAAAUACAAAAAAAUUAGUCCCAGCUACUCGAGAGGCUGAGGCAGGAGAAUGGCGUGAACCCGGGAGGCGGAGCUUGCAGUGAGCCGAGAUCGCGCCACUGCACUCCAGACUGGGCGACAGAGCGAGACUCCCUCUCAAAAAAAAAAAAAAAAGAAAGAAAAUUUAAUUAUUGGUUGGCCGGGAGCGGUGGCUCACGCCUGUAAUCCCAGCACUUUGGGAGGCCAACACGGGCGGAUCACGAGAUCAGGAGAUCGAGACCAUCCUGGCUAACACGGUGAAACUCCGUCUCUACUAAAAA